rnacentral:rRNA from 1 species
UGGGGAAUAUUGGACAAUGGGCGAAAGCCUGAUCCAGCAAUGCCGUGUGUGUGAAGAAGGCCUGCGGGUUGUAAAGCACUUUAAGUUGGGAAGAAAAGCUGAUGGCUAAUACCUGUCAGUGUUGACGUUACCAACAGAAUAAGCACCGGCUAACUCUGUGCCAGCAGCCGCGGUAAUACAGAGGGUGCAAGCGUUAAUCGGAAUUACUGGGCGUAAAGGGUGCGUAGGCGGUCUCUUAAGUCGGAUGUGAAAUCCUUGGGCUCAACCUAAGAAUUGCAUACGAUACUGAAAGACUUGAGUACAGUAGAGGAUAGUGGAAUUCCACGUGUAGCGGUGAAAUGCGUAGAUAUGUGGAGGAACACCAGUGGCGAAGGCGGCUAUCUGGACUGAUACUGACGCU